GGACACCCUGCAUUUUCAACUUUGAAAACAUCUAGUCCUUGUCUUAAGGCUCUUAAAAGUUCAUUUAUAAGAAUACAAAGACAGGAUAUAUACAAAUAAUAAUAGUAAUUCAUUCUAUUUGAAGCAUAAUAGAUUUAUACACAAAACACACCAAAUUAUUAAAUAGUAAUAUAGCUCUACACGAAGUAAACAACAAAGACUACUGGACAGGAUGACCUAUUGCCAAUCUACAUAUCAACCUUACACUUCGCAUGUUGGUACUUUAACCAAGUUAAUUUAACAUCAGACUCCUCCAAGGAAACAUACACCUCUCUCUUUGCCCUGGAAAGAAAUAAGUCUGUAGAAAAUAAAUGAAGUUCACUGCCUUUCACAAUCUCUGGUAUAGAAUGUAGGUCAGCCAAGACCUCAGGUAUGCUGCAUCCUGGAAGAUCUGUCCUCUUGGAAGUCACACUACUCCUACCUUCAACAGUAGCUACCAGUCUAUUAAUCUGCCGAGAUAACUUUGCUAAACCUUCUAACUGCGCCCUUCCUAUUUUUAUUUUCUUACUUGUAUCAGUUUGUGUAUCAGAUUCAUUGAUCCUUUUUUGUUUCCUCUCAAUCAUUUUCUCCUCAAGCUGAUUGCCAUCUUGCUCUAAAGUGGCUUCUGUGCAUUGCGUAGGGAGAGCUGAUGAAACAUUAGCACCAUCCAUCAUUUCUGAUGAUAGAUUAGCACCAUCCACAAUUUGCUCCAAACUCUCAACAAAAUUAGGUUCAUUUCUUGAAUUGCCACUCCCUUCUAAUGGUAUUGCAUUACUACUAGGUGACUCAUCAUUGCCAUCCUUAUCUGAAGGCAUAACGUUAUCACUAGGUGAUUCAUCAUUGUCAUCCUUAUCAUUUGGUACAACAAUCACUGAAGAAGUCCAAGCACAGAUUCCAGUAGCCCCCAUAUCCAUGAACAAGACAUCAUAUUUUGCACAAAGUUCAGGUUCAAUACCCAUGUAUCGAAAUUUUUUAGCUGCUGGCAUAACCUUAAUCUUUUCAUCCCACCAAGAAUCAGAAGCAUCCAGUGUUUGCCUUUUCGUAUCCCAACCAAGUUCGGUCUCUUCAGCUAUCAAAGCUUUCCAAAUCUUCCAUUCUUUUUUACUUCCAUCCCACUUGUUUUUCAACUGUUUUUUGGUAAAAUUUAGCCCGCUUUCCUUCUGGAAGUGUUUGAUUACAUACUUCCAACCUUGCUUUGUAAAGUGAGUCCCAGGUCGCAUGCCCAUUUGAAAGGCUCGGAUACAAAUAUCACAAAAGAUAUGCACCAUCUCCUUAUUCCACACAGCCUUAGCAGCUCUAUUUUCAUUUUCCUGACUUUGCUUGUUCUUUCCCAUAGAUUUAAAUCUUUCUACUUGAAAUAUAUAGGGACAAUCAGCAUUCAUCCGCCCAGCCUUCGCCUUCUUGGGCGAGUUUGAGAAAGAUUAGGGAUUAGGGAUUUUGGAUGAUGUUACAUUGAAAGAAAUCAGGGGGUUUUAUUUCUCAGGCGGAGAGUUAAUUUGGGAGAGAGAAACGUCCCUCGUGGACAAAGUGGCGGGG
rnacentral:misc_RNA from 1 species